CUUGUUGGUGACUGUUCUGCUCUUAUGAACAUCAAUAGUUUGAAAAAGUAUCAGAGAGCACCAGUUCUUAUUCUGGAAUCUUUCAAGAUCCAAGUCAAUGGAGAUAAAGUUAGUCUCCAAAAUGUGAUCAAUGUUUCUCGGGUUUCAAUCAACCGUGAUAUGCAGGAAACAGUGAAUUUUCUGAAUGAAUACCAUAUCGCAAGCCACCAUUUCAGUAGACUGUGUAGUAAUGAGAAU